CAUGUGCGAUUCUGCAAGGCAAGAAUUAUCAGUGAUCCAGAUGAACCUGAUGGAACAGAUACAAGCUGUGAAAUCUACCAUCCCCGGCAGCAUGACUAUGGGCAAAGAUGCAGAUAUUCAACUCUGGGACAGACACACAGACAUCCCCAUCCCCAUCAACAUUUUGGUCAUGGACUUCGUCACAGACAUCAUCACAGGCACAGAUGUCCACCCUCUUCUCAAUCCAGACAUAAAGACCCUGAGCAUAACCAUAGUUUCAAUGAAGAACAUCAAGACAGACAUGAAGGACCUGCUCCUCCUCCUCCUCACCAUGGUGGACCACAUCACCACCUUCCUCCUCCUCCCCAUGAUGGACCACAUCGUCUUCCCCAAGCAGAACCACAACAUCUCCCUUCUGCUCCUCCUUCCCAUGAUGCACCACAUCAUCCUUCUCCUUCCCAAGAGGAAUUACAUUGUCUUCCUUCUCCUCCCUCCCAUGAUGAAUGAUAUAAUCCUCCUUGUGGUCCCCAUCAUGGACUACACUGUCCUCCCCCUCCUCAUGGACCACAUCACCCCCACCCUCUUCCCCAUCAUAGACCACACUGGCCUUCUCCCCCUCUUCACAGAUGACAUCGCCACCAUCCUCCUCCCCACUGUGGGUGACAUCAUGCUCCUCCUCCAGGACACCCUCCUCAUCUCUAUCAUCACUAUUACAGACAUCACUGCAACAAGACAAGCAUAUCUGGAAAGUACUUUCCAUCCCAAAUAACAGGAGCUGUCUAUCGCAUUCCAACUCUAAAUCAGCCAGAUUCUCUCACACCUCCCACUGCAAAUUUUCCUAAGCUAUUCCAGAACAACCCUCACUCUUCCUGCCUGAGCUAUUCCAGAGCAACCCUCACUCCUCCAGCACUGGUGAAGGUAUUCCUUUCACUGGCUCAAGUCUAAAGCAGAUGCCAGAAGCUCCUGGUUUUCCAGAUCACACUAAAUAAUCAAAGGCAUGCCCAGGAAACCCCAUACUUGUUCUUCCAAAAAGUUUGCCUUUAUUUCCACAUAGCUCCAUGGCAGAAAAUCCUCCUACAUGACCUCAGAGAAAGAUGUUCCUGGCUUGAGAGUUGCAGGGCCAAUGACAGUUGUACAAUGAAUGAGAACAGCAUGUGGAGAAGGGGAAAAAGCAUAUUUCUAGGGAGGAGAAGCACUGAAAAUAAUGAUUAAGACAAGUAUUCCAACCUGCCUCCUGAUCCCAGCUAUCUCUAACUCCAGUGUAACUGAAAGGCUGAAAAUUCUGAGUCCCUCAGAUAAUGUGAAUGGGUACAAAUCUCCCCAGCAAACAAUGCUCCUUUAGUUCUGACAAAAAGGAAAAUUCCCUAACAGUGAAAACUACCAUCUAAAAUCUUUCAUUUUCUCAUCACUCAUAAUUAUAAUGUACUUCUCUGAGAAAAUCUGACCUAGAGGAAAUUUGACCACCUUCCAUAAAAAAUGAUCCAUGGCACCACAUUCAUGCUUUAUAAAGAUUCAAAGAAAAUAAAAAUAUGUAAGCUUUUUUUUUUUCUUGACACAGUUGCCAAAGUUUUUUCUUUUUUGUUAUUACCGAUGUUUAGCUGCACAGUAAACAUCCAUGAGGCAUACUCUAGCAUAAGUUGACUAAUGGUGGUUGGGUUACCACCAUUAUCUAGAAAAAGUCUGAGAAUAGUUAAUGACUUGUAGUGUAACACUGCAGGGUGGCCUGCACAGGUACUUCCAUUGCUAGAGUUGCUGGUGGUGAUAUAACAGAAAUACUGCAUUCAAGGACAGACCUUUUCAAAUAGUUCAUAAUUUCUCUCAGCAGAGGAGAAAAGCAGAUGUAUGUAAUAACUCUUUCAUGUAAAUAUUUUCUUUAUCACUGAACCUUCCUCGCUGGAAACUGAGUUGGGAGGAGCAGGAAGAAAGAAUACUGGUGUCUCUUUAUACUCUAGCCCCCAUCAAGGUUAAAUCCAUUCAGACAGACCUAGGACCCCAAUGAGUUAGUUCAGAACAGUUAUCUCAUAAGCAAGAACAUGGGAUUAAUCUCUAAAAAUUAGUAAUUUGAUCCUCAAAAUAACUUUUUAAUGGCAUAAAAUAAAAUACAGUGUGAGGGCUACAUUGAAGAAAAAGAAACAAAAUGGGGACAGCAUUUUCUGUAACUGAGUGAAGGUUGUCUAAUUUUUAAAAAUGCAUUAUCAUGUAUGAACAACCUUAUUUCUGGCAUAGUUUAUUGUUUAUCCACAAAGUCUCUAAAGUGCAUUUUCUUUAACCAGAACUUGUAGCUAGUGUGCUGGGCUGACCCUGUCUGGACACCAGGUUCCCACCAAAGCCACUCUAUCAAUCAUUCUCCCUUCUCAACUGGACAGGGGAGAGAAAACAUAAUGAAAGGCUCAUGGGUCGAGAUAAGGACAGGGAGAGAUCACUUACCAAUUACCAUCAUGGGCAAAAAAGACU
rnacentral:lncRNA from 1 species